UGGAAUGAAGCUUAAGUGGUAUAAGCAACAGACUGUUAAUCUGAAGAUAGUAGGUUCAAGUCCUAUCAUUCCAG
rnacentral:tRNA from 2 species